GACGGAGGGGGCAAGCGUUGUUCGGAAUUACUGGGCGUAAAGCGCACGUAGGCGGACUGAUCAGUCAGGGGUGAAAUCCCGGGGCUCAACCCCGGAACUGCCUUUGAUACUGUCAGUCUGGAGGUCGAGAGAGGUGAGUGGAAUUCCAGGUGUAGCGGUGAAAUGCGUAGAUAUCUGGAGGAACACCGGUGGCGAAGGCGACAUCCUGGACCGACACUGACGCUGAGGAGCGAAAGCCAGGGGAGCAAACGGG
rnacentral:rRNA from 1 species